rnacentral:misc_RNA from 1 species
AGCAUUUGGGGAGCCUGUG